rnacentral:rRNA from 1 species
GGCGAACGGGUGAGUAACACGUGAGUAACCUGCCCCCGACUCUGGGAUAAGCCCGGGAAACUGGGUCUAAUACCGGAUAUUACCUCUUGCCGCAUGGCAGGUGGUGGAAAGAUUUAUCGGUGGGGGAUGGACUCGCGGCCUAUCAGCUUGUUGGUGAGGUAAUGGCUCACCAAGGCGACGACGGGUAGCCGGCCUGAGAGGGUGACCGGCCACACUGGGACUGAGACACGGCCCAGACUCCUACGGGAGGCAGCAGUGGGGAAUAUUGCACAAUGGGCGAAAGCCUGAUGCAGCGACGCCGCGUGAGGGAUGACGGCCUUCGGGUUGUAAACCUCUUUCAGUAGGGAAGAAGCGAAAGUGACGGUACCUGCAGAAGAAGCGCCGGCUAACUACGUGCCAGCAGCCGCGGUAAUACGUAGGGCGCAAGCGUUAUCCGGAUUUAUUGGGCGUAAAGAGCUCGUAGGCGGUUUGUCGCGUCUGCCGUGAAAGUCCGAGGCUCAACCUCGGAUCUGCGGUGGGUACGGGCAGACUAGAGUGAUGUAGGGGAGACUGGAAAUUCCUGGUGUAGCGGUGAAAUGCGCAGAUAUCAGGAGGAACACCGAUGGCGAAGGCAGGUCUCUGGGCAUUUACUGACGCUGAGGAGCGAAAGCAUGGGGAGCGAACAGGAUUAGAUACCCUGGUAGUCCAUGCCGUAAACGUUGGGCACUAGGUGUGGGGGACAUUCCACGUUUUCCGCGCCGUAUCUAACGCAUUAAGUGCCCCGCCUGGGGAGUACGGCCGCAAGGCUAAAACUCAAAGGAAUUGACGGGGGCCCGCACAAGCGGCGGAGCAUGCGGAUUAAUUCGAUGCAACGCGAAGAACCUUACCAAGGCUUGACAUGUGCCAGACCGCUUCAAAGAUGGAGUUUCCCUUCGGGGCUGGUUCACAGGUGGUGCAUGGUUGUCGUCAGCUCGUGUCGUGAGAUGUUGGGUUAAGUCCCGCAACGAGCGCAACCCUCGUUCCAUGUUGCCAGCACGUAGUGGUGGGGACUCAUGGGAGACUGCCGGGGUCAACUCGGAGGAAGGUGGGGAUGACGUCAAAUCAUCAUGCCCCUUAUGUCUUGCGCUUCACGCAUGCUACAAUGGCCGGUACAAUGGGUUGCGAUACUGUGAGGUGGAGCUAAUCCCUAAAAGCCGGUCUCAGUUCGGAUUGGGGUCUGCAACUCGACCCCAUGAAGUCGGAGUCGCUAGUAAUCGCAGAUCAGCAACGCUGCGGUGAAUACGUUCCCGGGCCUUGUACACACCGCCCGUCAAGUCAAGAAA